CAGCCACCGAGGGUGGGGAUGUCCCACAAGGGUCAAUGACCCCUGGAUUGGUCAAGCCAGAAAACUGGGGAUUCACCAAAGUCUGCCAAAGACAGAUAAAAGGCAGUGAAGAGUAACCCUCAAUGGCGCCCUCUUGAGCUUCAACUUGCCCAGCACCCAACCUGUCCAGCUACAAAGACCAGCCAGCAACC